UAUGUGAUCGUCUCUUGCAUAUCAAUAAGCGGAGGAAAAGAAACUAACAAGGAUUCCCCUAGUAACGGCGAGUGAAGCGGGAAGAGCUCAAAUUUGAAAUCUUAAAGGGUUUCCCUUUACGAAUUGUAGUUUAAAGAAGUGUUUUCUGUUGAGGUUUUGGUAAAAGUUCUUUGGAAUAGGACAUCAUAGAGGGUGAGAAUCCCGUAUUCGACCUUUACUUUCAACUUUGUGAUUACACUUUCAAAGAGUCGGAUUGUUUGGGAAUGCAGUCCAAAAUGGGUGGUAAAUUUCAUCUAAAGCUAAAUAUUGGCAAGAGACCGAUAGCGAACAAGUACCGUGAGGGAAGGAUGAAAAGAACUUUGAAAAGAGAGUUAAACAGUACGUGAAAUUGUCAAAAGGGAAGCGUUUGACACCAGUGUUGUUUUUCUGAAAAUCAAUUAAAGAACUGUUUAUGCUAAGUUGUUUAGACUUUAUCAGCUAACUGUUUAGUUUUGAGCUUUUCUUUAAUGCACUUUUCAGUUAACAAGUCAACAUCAAUUUCUUUUGCUGUAAAAAAGCUUGAGGAAGGUGGCUUGAGAUUCGUCUUAAGUGUUUAUAGCCUCUUGCCUAUGCAGUCGGAGAGAUUGAGGUCUGCAGCGUAGAUCCUUCGGGGCUAAAUGCAUUUGUGCUAAGUUAUAGCAUUUUAUAGACAACUUGUUGACUAUGAUUUGUCUUGUAGCUUACUCGCUUAUGUUAUUUUACCUACGCUUAGGAUGUUGACACACGCGCGUGCUCG
rnacentral:rRNA from 1 species